rnacentral:rRNA from 1 species
AGUGAACGCUGGCGGCAGGCCUAACACAUGCAAGUCGAACGGCAGCACAGGAGAGCUUGCUCUCUGGGUGGCGAGUGGCGGACGGGUGAGGAAUACAUCGGAAUCUGCCUAUUUGUGGGGGAUAACCUCGGGAAACCGGGACUAAUACCGCAUACGACCUACGGGUGAAAGCAGGGGACCUUCGGGCCUUGCGCAGAUAGAUGAGCCGAUGUCGGAUUAGCUAGUUGGAGGGGUAAUGGCCCACAAAGGCGACGAUCCGUCGCUGGUCUGAGAGGAUGAUAAGCCACACUGGGACGGAGACACGGCCCAGACUCCUACGGGAGGCAGCAGUGGGGAAUAUUGGACAAUGGGCGAAAGCCUGAUCCAGCCAUGCCGCGUGAGUGAAGAAGGCCCUCGGGUUGUAAAGCUCUUUUGUUGGGAAAGAAAAGCAAUCGGUUAAUACCCGGUUGUUCUGACGGUACCCAAAGAACAAGCACCGGCUAACUUCGUGCCAGCCGCCGCCGUAACAC